rnacentral:rRNA from 1 species
CCUACGGGAGGCAGCAGUGGGGAAUAUUGCACAAUGGGGGAAACCCUGAUGCAGCGACGCCGCGUGAGUGAAGAAGUAAUUCGUUACGUAAAGCUCUAUCAGUAGGGAAGAAACACUGACCUUACGGUCAGCAGACGGUACCUGAGUAAGAAGCCCCGGCUAACUACGUGCCAGCAGCCGCGGUAAUACGUAGGGGGCAAGCGUUAUCCGGAUUUACUGGGUGUAAAGGGAGCGUAGACGGUGGGCCAAGUCUGGAGUGAAAUGCCGCAGCUUAACUGUGGAACUGCUUUUGAAACUGGUGAACUAGAGUGCGGGAGGGGUAAGCGGAAUUCCUGGUGUAGCGGUGAAAUGCGUAGAUAUUAGGAGGAACACCGGUGGCGAAGGCGGCUUACUGGACCGUAACUGACGUUGAGGCUCGAAAGCGUGGGGAGCAAACAGGAUUAGAUACCCCUGUAGUC